rnacentral:rRNA from 1 species
UACGUAGGUGGCAAGCGUUGUCCGGAUUUACUGGGCGUAAAGAGCGCGCAGGCGGUCGUGCAAGUCGCGUGUGAAAGCCCCCGGCUCAACUGGGGAGGGUCACGCGAUACUGCUCGACUUGAAGGCAGGAGAGGGAAGUGGAAUUCCCGGUGUAGUGGUGAAAUGCGAAGAUAUCGGGAGGAACACCAGUGGCGAAGGCGACUUCCUGGCCUGUUCUUGACGCUGAGGCGCGAAAGCUAGGGUAGCAAACGGG